GCUCCGCGGCAGAAGGCGGUCACGUGAGUGGCUAGGUGCGUCACGCGGCUGUCACGUGACCCUUCCCGCCAUGCUCUGAUGGAUCUUCCUCCCGGCGCCGCCUCCGCGGCACCACUUGAGGAGAAGUUUUUGACCCGGACUUCGGGGCACCACCGGGGAGGCGGCUCCGCGGUGCCGGGCUGUGGGGUCUGUGAGGCCCGCCCGGGCUCGGGCGCCUGUACGUGGCCCCGCCGCGGCCUUCGUGACCGGAGCAGCCUGGGGACGGCGCGGCCGGCCGGACACACAGCCGCCGCUGGGGCGCGGCCGAGGACGAGCGCACACGCGCUCUGGGCCGCGUUACACGGAGGGCGGGAAGGGCCCCUCUGAUGGCCUCCGCCCACGGAACUGCUCCAGAGAAGGUACGAGAAGGCUUCCUUCGGAGAAACCGCUACCUAUGAUCGAAGCACAGGCCCGAGCGGCGGCCAGCCAUCCGUGCGGUGACGCCCCACAGACAGGACACCGGCGUCUGUCACCGUUUCCACGGACAAGGGACAAGGGCCUGCGGGGGGACGGCUGGGCGGCGGAGAAAAGAUGAAAAUCCGUCUCAGAAGACGCAGAGAGUUUCCACGUGACGCCUUGGGUAGAGGCAGUACUUCUGACGUUUGAGAAUCCGGGUCCCAGCUUGGGUGCGGGGACACGGGACUGGCUGCGUGGGAGCGGGGUCCCGUGCCGGGGGCUGGCCUGAGCGCUCGUGGGCACAGCCCGGUCUGCCCCCGGCGUCGUCCCUUCUGAUUUGGCUGCAUGGCUUAGCCCUCUGAGCCUCAGUUUCCCCACAAAAGUGCUGUGAGUUCCGCACACUGGUCGCAUGGACUCCGGGCCGGCUGCCCGCGGCGGUUCAGCCUCGUGCCGCCCUUCCUGGAGCCUGAGACUUAGGCGCCACUGCCACCUGGUGGCCGCACACCCAAAUUACAACUCCAGGGUUCAUCUUCAUGGUGUGUUUUUGCUUUUUUUUUUUUUUUUUGAGAGAUGAAGGAAAAUCCCUUUAAAAGUGGAAAAUGUGAGUCUGAAGUCAAGAAGCCGCAAGACACGUGACGGGAAAGGAAGAAGUUGAAGACCAGGGCGGGAUGGGGAAGUGGGACAUACCCGGGUGUCUGUGCACUGCCGGCCCCGCAGGAGCCCAGGCUGAGGGCGCCUGCCCCUGACUGGGAGACCUCCUUGACUACCCGAGCAGCCUGAGGACGCGCAGGGCCCGGUGGAGAAAUAAAUAAUUGGCUGUUGGAAGCCCCGGGCUGAGGACAAACGCGCUAGACAUGUUCCCAUGCCGGGUUACACAGGAAGAGCGUGAAGGAUCCUUCUAAUAGACUCCGUGUAUAAAACGAACUUUAGAGAAAGUUAUAUACAUCGAGGCUUUGUAAGACUUCGUUCACAUAAAAUUUUGCCUCUGUCUAAAAAACAGAUCGGAGGGAGGAGAGACUCUUCAUAGGGCUGCAUGGUUACUUCUUUGAAAUGUUUUCAACUCCCAGAAUGUCAGGCCCAACCAAAAUGAAAGAACCACAAAUAUGCCAAAGAAAAAACACCAAUUGUUUGUAUUAUAUACCACCUGGGAUUGUCUAUUUUACUCUUUUUCUUCAUUCCAAUGUCAUGUUGCUUUCAGGGAGACCAUUUAAUUGUGUCUAAACUGAAAUACAGAUGACACUGGCAGGAUUCCUUGCUUCCACCCAGGGGAAGGAACUCUGGCCCUUCCCCUGGACAAGACCUGCAGAACCAGAAAAGAACAUGAUACUUUCCCCCCACUCAGGAAAAUAAUCCUCGAUAAUAAUAAUGCCAGUGUCAAACAUGCUGGUGUGUUGUGAGCACUCAUGAGUCAUCUUAUGAGCUACAUGGAAGUCAUGAUUAUUUUAUGUGUUUGUGACUGGUUUGCCUUUUCAUAAAACGUGGAAUUGAGACAAUCCCUAGCAUGAGCACAGUCUCAUCAUUGGCAUUGCAGCGUGGGAUUACUUGAGGGAGGAAAUUCAGAGUUGCAGGGCACCAACAGGUGAGCCCCAGCAGACAGGGCCUCGCUAUUGACCAGGCUGGUCUAUGAACUUCUGGGCUCAAGACAUCCUCCCGCCUAGCCUUCCCAAAUUAAAAUGUGCUUUUGUUAAUGGCCUCAGAAUGAAAGUUUUUCCAACUUCUUGGUGAUCUCAGGAAAAGAAUUUCAGGAUGCCAGAGGAGAAAAAUGAUCAGAUGUUUAUACUCACCACAGAAUAACAACAGCUUCUCUAAUUUUCUGGAAGAAUGAACUGAAGCGAUUAGCCAAGGCUGGAGAAUGUAGCUGUGCGUGAGAUGGAUUGCUGCUUCUGCCUCAGUCCUUAGGAGCACCGAUGAAUAAAGAAAAAACAUCCUCAAAGACAUCAGAGGGCUUGUGAGAGCUGGUGUAGGACCCAGGUAUAAACACAGAAAAUGUAGACGAGCUGGUGUGGGUCAUGUUCCAAUGGAAAAAGCACUGGGCGUGGAUCUGAAGAUCACUGGAGGCCGGCUUUGUGAGAUAGAUGAUUAGGAUCUCGGGCUCUUCUUGGGACAAGGGCUCCCUGCUUUGGUGCUAUUUGGAGCAACUGUUCCACCUGGGGAGAAGGAUAAGGCGGGUGCUCCAUUUUGGUGCCACCCCGCCCUUAAUCUUAUCCUGAGCAGCUGCUGCACCUGGGGAUGGAGGGCUGUUCUGUCAACCUGGAAAUUCCCCAGCCCAGGCAUGCUAGGAUUUAGAAAGUGACCUAGAGUAACCUAAGGGUGAUUAGUAUGACAUUAGUUUGACUCUGCAUUGUGGUUCACCCCCCCAGGUGGGCUUUCUUAGAGGGAGCUCGUAAGCGCAGAUGGAAUUUUGAGGACACCUGUUGAUCAUUUUCUAAUAUCCUAUACCUCCUGAGAGCCUGCCUCCAGACUGGGCUAAUAAAAGGAAACAAUCUGAGAAGUCAGGAGGAAGCGAGAGCGUCAGUCAGCGAGUUGCUCUGUCCCUCUCCACUCUUGAAGGUAGACCCAACUGCUUCCUGCCUGAAGUUACUUACUUCAUCGUAUUGGCCUUGCUGUUUGCACCUUCUGUACAGACGACUACUGGCAAAGUGACAGGCUCUAAACUCCAGGGAACCAAGAGCAGGCCUGGGGCUGUGUCUGGAGCAGAAGAGGCUCUCCACAGGGACAACCUUCUCUCUGUUUUGCUGAGCCCUUUCAUAAACUCCCUGCAGAAGUGACCUGUGGCCUGUUGGGAAAGAUGCCUUGCAAGGGGGUAACGAUAAUAUGCUGAUUAUUGCAGCUGUCAUUCAAUCAACAAGGAUCCCAUACGUUAAGUCCUUCAAAGCACAAAUGUACAUUCAUUCCUUUAAUGCCGACGUCAACCCUGUCAGGUGAGGCUGCUGUUGGAACUUGGGGUCCCAGGCCUUUCCCACUACAAAGGCGGUUUGUGAAGGGACGCUGUCAAAGGCCCUUCUGAAAUACCACGGGAUGGAGCUCCCAAGUUUUUCCCGGAAUUAAAUGAACGCAGGUAAACUCAUGUCCACGUGUAUUAAGCGCCUGGCACACGAAGGUCCCUGGUUGAUUCGGGUUCCUUCUCCCUCUGUGCCACAGUCUCGAGCAGGAGGGCGGCUUCCACCUCCCGAGACGGGACGCGGCGGCCUGGGCCUAGGCCCCCUCUGCCCGCAGCGCCCUGCA